rnacentral:lncRNA from 1 species
GUUGAAAUAUGAAUUUGUCAAACAUUAUUACGUUUCAUUCUUGUAUCCAAGUGGUAUCAACAAUUCUUUUAUGAGAAAGUGUUUAUCCAGAAAGAAAGAAAGAAAGUUUUUUUCCUUUUUAAAUUUGUGUUCUCUAUAACAAGUCAUAGGUUAUGCAUGGCUGUCCAAGGAGUGCGGAGCCUAAAAGGUAAGUGUUUUUAGUUAAAAUUUCAAAAGGGCACCCCAAUACUGAAAAAGUUCAAAAGGGACAAGGUAAACACAGGUGUUUACCUUGUUUAUUAAGAAGUUAACGCCGUCAGUAUAAAUGUUAGAAUGUAAGGUAAAAUGGUGAGUUUACCUUAUCUAUUAUCUAUAUGUAAGUGUCGGCAAAGUGUAAGGCUACAAGGUAAAUGGAGUUGUUAACCUUGUAAGGUAGGAUCCCAUGUUUACCUUGUAACAACUUCAAUAUUCUCGCUGUUAUAUAGAGAGUGUGAGCAGAAGUUCAUUUCUUGCAUCAACUCAAAAAAAAUUGUUAAACUUCAUAACUAAAAAAUUUGUUGAACCUUAUUCAUUUCUUACUUUAAAAUGGAUAAGGUAAGAGUAAAUUUACAUUGGGGUGGUAAAGUUUUACAUGAUGGAGAUUCGGUGCGAUAUAGUCGGUGUCCUUUAGUGGUUUAAUUAUUUUCUUUAUCUCUCAAAUAUGAUCGUUUGAAAAGGUUGU